UGAGUAUCCAGCCACUCCUCCUAACCAGUCUUAUGUAAUUCAUUAUUUAAAAAGCACAGAACUUUUCUAGUUAAGUGUGUACUAUGGGGGGGGCGUGGCAUUUCAAGAUUAUGGAGCUUCAUCGGACUUGACCUCUCCCAGAAGUGAAAACUGGAUAGUGAGUUUACCCACAUGAAAUUUAAUAGAAUUCAGAUGUCAGAUUAAUUUCUUUCUCCUUUUGAAGAUUCAAUAAUAUUGGGUUAGAGUCCAUAGUGGUGGAACAAAGGCAUGGUGGCAGGAACAGCAGAGAACUCUCAUAGAAUGAUGAGCACGGAAGAGAUGAAUGAUCAUCCAGUUGAUUACAGUGAACCGUAUAUGGUAACAGGGAAGCUGAGAGUAAAGGAGAGGCGAAUGAUCGUCUACAUCAGAAGUUCUCAGCCGUUGGGUCCUGACUCCUCUGGAGGUUGAAUGGCUUGACUGCGAGGAAAGAUACCCUUAAAAGUCUUAUCUUCAGACUAAGGGAUAUCUAUUUCAGAACUUCUAUGUGAUCCUGUAACAUAAGGAAGACUCUGGUGCGAUUAUACAGGAUUUGCAAGGCCCACGGAAGGUUUCGUUUGUGGUGCAGUCCAUCUGCUACGAAGUUCUCUGACACCCUUUGCUGAGACAGUGGGAGUCCAUUUCUUUUCUUUUCAUGGAAGCUGGCCUGGUUUGGACCAGUAAAUUUCAUGAAUAAAGUUUAGCCCAAGGGACACCCAGAUGCUUUCCUGGGUAGUCAGAAGCCUCACAGCUUCUUCAGUCUUCUCAGAAUGUUUGCACUCUGGCCUCUUCCUCUUGAGAUAACCUUGCAGUGAGAACAGACAGUACACAUAUAUGUGAUUCUCAUAACCCCACCCCAUGUCCCGCCAUCCAGGGCUCUCCAAUACCGGUCCAGCCGAACCUACAGCAGUGUGAGCUGCCCAAAUAGAUCCUUAGCACCUUGCACGGCAAACAGAAUAGAACGGCUGUGUCAACACUAAACAUGCGGCUGUGCGUUGCACCUCAGAUUUAGUCUGCUUUUGAUCGGACUGCUCUAACAACCCCGUCACAGCCGGCUUUGCAUGAUGAAGUUGCGGAUCUGCGAGGCCUGGAGGAGCCCAUCUGAGGACUUGGAAUAAACAAGUGGUGUAAUUAUGGGUAGCCCUAUGACAUCAAGGUGAACUGUGAAUGAUUUUGUUGCUUAGUGACGAAUCUCCUUAAGCUUCUGUUUUAUGUCUUCAUCACAUCUAACAGAAAAAAAUUACAUAACGUUCCUUUAUCUGCACUCUGCACUUGAUCUGAGUUGGGUCAGACAGAAAGAGCUGGCAUGCUACCUACUGGAACUUUGCUGCCCACUCACUGCCCUUUCCCCCUUCCUGGGAAAGGCUGCUUUGAUUGCAACAUUCCCCAGAUUUCAGCGGCCUCUGCUCUUGGUUCGUUCUGGGGCACUGUGUUCUGAGCAUGACCUGCUGGCAUCGAAACUUUGUGUGUGUGUGUGUCAAAAUCCUGUUACUUGUUUUGAAGUUACUUUCACAUAUUCAAUUUUAAUUUAGUAUAAAAAACACCUGUUUAUUGAAUUCUGUUUUGCUUCAAACAUUUCUGACUUUCCGUUCUUUGUGUGUGUGUGUGUGUGUGUGUGUGUGUGUGUGUGUGUGUGUGUGUAUGUUGGGGUGUUAACUACCAUUAGCCAAAUGUUAGGAAUGUCUUUCUGACCUGUCUUUUAACUCUCACACAAACACAUUAAUACAUACUCACACAAUAAUAAGAAAUAAAAAUAGAUAUCUACAGCAGAGAAACAACUUUUAAGCUUUUUUCUGUUUUUAAUUAAUUGUGAAAUAAAAAUAUUUUUUAAGAUUA